CUGCCUUGCGCCCUAUCCAUCACGCUUCCCUAAAGAGCCCUAUGGAUGAACCUCGUGGAGGCUCGGGUGAACAGCGAUGCGAGUGUGGUACUCGGGUUUUCCCGUGAUUCCCUUGAGAAAUCCAAGUGAAGCAGCUCGGAUCGGCAGCAGUGAAGGACAGCUUCCUUCCCGCGGUAGGAGGUGGCAGAAGAGAAGAGAGCAGCAGGCACCUUCUGGUGUAGACCGUGCUCAGGUAGAAUUGUGUAUCAGAAGCAGAGCUGCCUUCUCCCAAUAACAGCUGCUGGUACAACACCCAAGGGCUCUGUCAUACAUAAAGCUGCGCACAGAACGAUAGGCUGCAGGAGGAAAAAGGAUGCUAAGUAACACCACAGUGCUGGAAAGGAAUACAGCACGGUUUGACCUACACUAAAGGUACUCCGUUGUUCUUGUUUUUUCCUAGGUUUCAGAAAACUUCUUAGCACAUGGCAAGACAUUGGAGUAAGUUGCAAACCACAGUCUUCCCUGUGUUUUUAAAAAACUGGCGAUUUUCUUCUCAGAAAACAAUGUUGCUGUUCACGCUACAGCUGCUGUUUUCUAAUUGUUUACCAAAGCUAAGGAUAGACCUAUUUUUAUCAUAAAAAGCUGCAGGUGUCAGUUUCUCUUACUAGUUAGAAGCUAUCCUAGUUCUUUAGGAAUGCAGAAAAGGAGCACUUAAAAUUCAGCAAAAUAGUCUGGUUUCUGGCUUCAGUUAAAAACAAAGUCAGCUUUUUAGUAUCACUGCUGAGAUCAAACAAGUAUGUUAUCUACAGAAGAAAGUUUGUAAUGUUAAGGAUGAUCAGCUUUUGACUCCUUAAGUGCCACCUUCUGCUCUAGACCUCAAAAUGCAACAGGGAACUUGACAACUCUUGUUUUUAGAAUGGAGAUAGGGACAAGGUCAAAACAAAUGUCCCUUAAAACCAGUUUUCAAUCAGUUUUAGCUACUCUGGCUCUAAAAGGUGCACGCAACAACUUGUUUUCAGUCACUGUUUUGUUUUUAAAAAAUGUUUCCUUAUGUAGGCAUGGUCUGGUGCUUUCU